rnacentral:rRNA from 1 species
UACAGAGGGGGCAAGCGUUAUUCGGAAUUAUUGGGCGUAAAGAGCUCGUAGGCGGUUUGUUGCGUCGGCUGUGAAAUCCCGAGGCUCAACCUCGGGUCUGCAGUCGAUACGAGCAAACUAGAGUGUUGCAGGGGAGACUGGAAUUCCUGGUGCAGCGGUGAAAUGCGCAGAUAUCAGGAGGAACACCGGUGGCGAAGGCGGGUCUCUGGGCAACAACUGACGCUGAGGAGCGAAAGCGUGGGGAGCGAACAGG